UUCUAUGGUGGACCGUGUGGGGCAGGCUUUUGCCUGGCCGGUUCCCUCGGACGCCGGUUUGUCACCCCCGCACGGUCCGCCACCCAU
ncrna:unclassified sequences C4 antisense RNA